AGACCUCUGGGUCACCUCCCACCCGUGUUUAUCGUACCUUGUUGCUUCGGCGGGCCCGCCUCACGGCCGCCGGGGGGCAUCCGCCCCCGGGCCCGCGCCCGCCGAAGACACACAAACGAACUCUUGUCUGAAGAUUGCAGUCUGAGUACUUGACUAAAUCAGUUAAAACUUUCAACAACGGAUCUCUUGGUUCCGGCAUCGAUGAAGAACGCAGCGAAAUGCGAUAAGUAAUGUGAAUUGCAGAAUUCAGUGAAUCAUCGAGUCUUUGAACGCACAUUGCGCCCCCUGGUAUUCCGGGGGGCAUGCCUGUCCGAGCGUCAUUGCUGCCCUCAAGCACGGCUUGUGUGUUGGGCUCUCGCCCCCCGCUUCCGGGGGGCGGGCCCGAAAGGCAGCGGCGGCACCGCGUCCGGUCCUCGAGCGUAUGGGGCUUCGUCACCCGCUCUGUAGGCCCGGCCGGCGCCCGCCGGCGAACACCAUCAAUCUUAACCAGGUUGACCUCGGAUCAGGUAGGGAUACCCGCUGAACUUAAGCAUAUCAAUAAGCGGAGGAA
rnacentral:rRNA from 1 species